rnacentral:rRNA from 1 species
UUACUAAUGAUCUUUUAGUGGCGGACGGGUUAGUAACGCGUGAGUAACUUGCCUCAAAGAGGGGGAUAGUCCUGGGAAACUGGGUUUAAUACCGCAUGUGCUCUUCGGAGUAAAGCUGGCUUCGGCUAGUGCUUUGAGAUAGGCUCGCGUCCUAUCAGCUAGUUGGUGAGGUAACGGCUCACCAAGGCAACGACGGGUAGUUGGUCUGAGAGGACGAUCAGCAACACUGGAACUGAGACACGGUCCAGACACCUACGGGUGGCAGCAGUCGAGAAUCAUUCACAAUGGGGGCAACCCUGAUGGUGCAACGCCGCGUGGAGGAUGAAGGCCCUAGGGUCGUAAACUCCUGUCAUGUGAGAGUAAGGCAUAUAAGUUAAUAGCUUGUAUGUUUGAUAGUAUCACAAGAGGAAGGGACGGCUAACUUCGUGCCAGCAGCCGCGGUAAUACGAAGGUCCCGAGCGUUAUUCGGAAUCACUGGGCGUAAAGGGAGCGUAGGCUGCGCGGUAAGUCAGAUGUGAAAUCUCAGGGCUCAACCCUGAAACUGCAUCCGAUACUGCCGUGCUAGAGUAAUGGAGGGGUAAGUGGAAUUCUCAGUGUAGCAGUGAAAUGCGUAGAUAUUGAGAGGAAGACCAACGGCGAAGGCAGCUUAC